UACGUAGGGACCGAGCGUUGUCCGGAAUCAUUGGGCGUAAAGAGCGUGUAGGCGGCCAAUUAAGUCCUGCGUGAAAUCUCGGGGCUCAACCCCGAGCGGUCGUGGGAAACUGGUUGGCUAGAGUGCGGGAGAGGAGAGUGGAAUUCCUGGUGUAGCGGUGAAAUGCGCAGAUAUCAGGAAGAACACCCGGUGGCGAAGGCGGCUCUCUGGAACGCAACUGACGCUGAGACGCGAAAGCGUGGGGAGCAAACAGG
rnacentral:rRNA from 1 species